GCCGAAAACAGUUCCAUAGAUUUAGCUGCACACACCGCUGACCGCAUUCGAAUUAGUUAAAAUGGCUGCCGCCACGUGUUCGUUUGUCGAAUGGCGGCCACUUCGACUACUUCGUCUGUAUCCGAAGUGCCACUUUAAAGUUGCAACACUGCUCCAAAGUAAUUAAAGGGCCAGAAUUAGCAUUAUAAAAAUCCAUUAUGCC